GGUGAGCCCUGAUCGUAACGGCAUCCUUUUCCGCCGGGGUUCGGCGGGAAAGAUAUAGUGUAGAGCAGGAAGUAGC
rfam:Flavobacterium sp. LM5 Flavobacterium_sp_LM5_contig1, whole genome shotgun sequence.